AUGUGCCUCCAGCAGCCUAUGGCCGUGUGCAUUGUCAUGAGAGUCUCUGCUUCUCCAUUCUCAGGAAAAGGCAAAGGUGUGUUUUGUGAGAAACUCCCUAGUUUGGAUAGACAGAUUGCUGAGAUGUGUUUCGAUGAAGCUAACAGAUGUGGGAAACCAUUAGUCUGUGGAUUCUACAAGCGUUUUGAUCCAGCUUUACAAUUCUUGUACCAGAAAGUCGGUGAGAGCCGCGCGCUAGGGAGGAUACAUCGGAUAGCAGUCGUUAGCAGCAUCUAUCCACCAGCUUCUCCCAGUUUGCUAAGGAAGUCAGGUGGGAUCUUUUAUAACGCUGCUGUGCAUGACGUGGACAUCGUCAGUCUCUUGUUGGGAGAGAGUGUUCCAGACACAGUCUUUUCUUUGGGUCAUGCGUUCUGCUCAGAUGUGGCCUCUUUGAAAGAUGCAGACAGUGUCAUGGUCAGCAUGAAGUUUCCUAGUGGGGCCAUUGUUAGUUUGGAUAUCAGUCAACACUGCACCAAAAGCUGUGACCUGAGAGUGGAGGCUCAGAACCUAGAAAAAGUUUGCUUUCCUAUGAGAUUAUUAUUGUCAGUAUUGCAAAGAUCUCUAAGACUGGCGGACUUCUUAGGGGUUCAUGGUUCUCAAGGAACUUUACGGGUCGAUAAUCAGAAUCCCUUGGGGAUUACUGAGCGUGGAACCUCCGUGUCCAUAUACUCACACACACAUGUCGAUCGGUACCAAGAAGCAUAUAGAGGACUCUUUCGACACUUUCUCAGAACCCUUAAAGGAAAAGAACCCCCAACUGUCCCCAAAGAACAGUUUCUCUGGACCAUUCAGGUGGCUGCAGCAGCUGAGCAAUCCUGGCGGAAUGGGUCAGCUGUCGACUUCAGCAAUGAAGGUUGAGAUAUAAAUGCGAUGUCGGUUAUCAAGAUGGAAAUACUGUGAAGAGGGAAUAACUGACUUAAGUUUUGCUGAAGAAGACAACCUUAUACCUAUUUCCAUUUUCAUUAAUUUAAAAAAAUUAAUUGCAGUGUUUUGUGACUUUAUUUUCACUGGAAACCAUGAGCUGGGAACUUUGGGGAAAUGUGUGUAUAUGGUAAUGGUGUAGCAAGUAAUUUUCUUAGGAUGUUGUAUUAGGCCCAAAAAUGAAGCUUGAAAGGCAUCAUUCUGUUAGUGUGUAUUUUUCCUUGUGUUCGAAGGAGGCAUUUAGGUGAGAAAGGCUGACAUUUUGUUUUUAAAGAACACGUAUGCAUUAUCCAUCCUGAGAAACAUACCAGCCAUUUACUUCCCACACUGUGGCAACAAAACAUGCUUCUGUGAAAAUAGGUUUGUUGCCCCCGCAUGGAUAUGUGGUCUGUUUUGGGGGGCGAGGGCGGGGAGGAAGGAUGGAGUGAUGCUCCUUUUUCUUUUGAGACGGGGUGGGACAAACAGUCUAAGAUAGGGCUCUUUUCCCCCUCAGACAGUCAAAUCUAGAUGAGAUUGUGUAUAAAUGUUACAGAAAAAGAUAGUGCCUUCCAAAAUGGGCCACUCUGCUUUAACUCAAGUUUGGGGUUAUCUUUUUUAUUCUUAUGUCAGACUUACUGCAGAUGUUUUUAUAUAUUUGAAGAUUCUUGUCUGUAAUUUCUCAUAUCCUACUUUUUCAAAUAAAAGUAAGUUUUCUAAC
rnacentral:lncRNA from 1 species